UGAGGAAUAUUGGUCAAUGGGCGAGAGCCUGAACCAGCCAAAUCGCGUGAAGGAAGACUGCCUUAUGGGUUGUAAACUUCUUUUAUACAGGAAUAAAAAAGGGGACGUGUCCCUUAUUGCAUGUACUGUAUGAAUAAGCAUCGGCUAACUCCGUGCCAGCAGCCGCGGUAAUACGGAGGAUGCGAGCGUUAUCCGGAUUUAUUGGGUUUAAAGGGUGCGCAGGCGGGCUUUUAAGUCAGCGGUGAAAUCUCGGGGCUUAACUCCGAAACUGCCGUUGAAACUGGGAGUCUUGAGUAUGGAUGAAGUAGGCGGAAUUCGUUGUGUAGCGGUGACAUGCUUAGAUAUAACGAGGAACUCCGAUUGCGUAGGCAGCUUACUAAGCCAUAACUGACGCUCAAGCACGAAAGCGUGGGGAUCAAAACAGGAUUUAGAUACCCUGGUAGUCCACGCCGUAAACGAUGAUUACUAGUUGUAUGCGAUAUACCGUAUGUGACUAAGCGAAAGCGAUAAGUAAUCCACCUGGGGAGUACGCCGGCAACGGUGAAACUUAAAGGAAUUGACGGGGUCAUAGCUGUUUCCU
rnacentral:rRNA from 1 species